GAGCCGGCUGAUGGGUUGCGGUCGGAGCAGAUCGUUUCUCUACCGGAGCACUGUUUUUCGGACAGGUUUAGACACACGUUUCGAGUGGGGCCCCACUGCUCCUCUUCCUCCUCAUUUUCCCCCACCCGUUUAUUCCCUCUUUCUCCUCCGCACAGGCGCUUCCGGCUGUGAUCUCGCCCGCGAUUUCGUUCGGCGGCGAGGGGGCGGCCGCUGUGUCGGACUAGGAGCUGCACGCGAGAGGUGCGCAUCGCGGGAUCCCCUGAGCAGCAGCGUGGUUGGCGUCGAUUUUCUCCGCAGCGACGAAAGGAGCGCACCGGUGGCAGCAAGCAAUAUAGUUCUGCAAAUCCAUUUGUUUCAUUGUGUGUUCAUGGGGUUCAAAUCCACUAUUCAUGGGGUUACAUGAGCUGUUUUUAGUUCUGGCUCCCAAGAAUACUGAGAUCCAGCGUAGGUGCCCCAGAGGCAAGGGCAAGAGGUUGCUUUGCAAGUAAGAUUAUUUGUCCUUGUUUUUUAUUAGUUGCAAGUCCUGCCAAAGGCAGCAGGCCCAUGCGAGCAAGUUCAAGCCAAGGCACCAGCUCCUCUUUAGCAAGUUCUAGCAAAGGCAAAGGUGCCAACUGCGUGCGAGCAAGUUAAAGCCAAGGCACCAGCUCCAUGUGAGCAAGUUUGGGCAUUUGUGUGCUGGCCGCUAUUUUUUCUGGACGAAACUACACUACUGCUUGUAUGCAUCAGAGCUACUGCUUGUUUAGUUCUUGUAGCUGACAUGUUCAGAGUUUGUUUUUCAAUUUAUUGCUGGGAACCAAAAGUCUAAAAAUGAUCUAUGCAUGUGUUAUUCCCUUUCUGCAGUUAUAACUUACCUGACAGGUUCAGAGUUGCUUUUUGGUCUGAGUUGUUGCAUGUGUUCUUUUGCUGAAAAUAUAGGGUUUUCUACGCAUGCCAAGUUUGUUGAUUAAAUGAUAAAUUCAGAGUUUGCUUUUAAAUUUGUUGAUUAAUUACGUCCCUGCAUGUAUGCCCGGAAGAAUUUGCCAAAUACAUGUUGUGAACUGGACGCCGGGGCCAGCCAACUUUUCUCCUUUUUUCUUCAAUUGGAUUAGAGCAUGUUCAUGGGCAUGUCCGAUGGAGAUGGACCGAGACCGACUGGGAAAAGGUGUCGCGCUGUUUUUGUUGCCUGCUGCGCGCGGGGGUGGAUUUCCAGGCAGGCGGACGGUUUACUGGGUGGCGCGCGUGGCGGGGUACUGAAGGGACCAAAACCUUCCUUUAAUAGAAAUGUGCAAGUUGGCUUUCCAUAUAUAGGCUGUGCACCCUCAAUAGGAGGAAAGUGCACAUGCACCCCCUAGUCUGAGUAAAAUAUAUCUCUCCUUUUAAAAGAAAAAGGAUAGUCCAUUUUUCCAAGGAAAACUCCAGAUAAUCCUUUUUUUAACUCAAACUCCGGAUAUUUUUCUAAGAACAAGAUAAUCGAUAAUCUUGUUAGAGGUAAUCCAGUUUUUUUUUAGAACAAGAGGUACUCCAUUUUUUUUGAGAAUAAGAGGUACUCCAGAAUUAUUAUUUUUGAGCGAAGGUACUCCAGAUAAUCAUGGUGUCACAAUUUUGCACUCGUGGCCUUUAUUUAUGUAACCUGCCUUGCAUUACUGCCCACCUCACAGGAGCAAUAGGCCCAACUAGAUUAGGUUGAGCCUUGAGUCAUACACAAACCAGACCGGCAGACUGGUUUGUGUAAGGGCCCAUAACAUAACGAGUGGUCAAAUGUAAGAAGGGCCCAUAACAUAACGAGCCCGCUAUCCUGCUCCUUGAACCGCUCGAUGCGCGUGCCGCCGCCGCGCCGCCGCCGGCAAAAUCCGCAACACCAGCCGAGCAACCUCAAGAUGGAGCGCGCGGUGCGGGAGCUGUGGGCGGAAUCACGCGACCUGCUGGGCCUCCACUCUCCGGAGUCCGUGCAGCGCGCCGACCUGCCCCCGACCCCGCUCGCCUUCCUCCGCGACCACGUCUCCCCUGGCCGCCCGCUCCUCGUCUCCGCCGCCGCCACCCGCCACUGGCCCGCCGCCUCCCUCUGGCCCACCGAGUCUUACCUCACCGACGCGCUCCGCUCCACCGACGUUUCCCUCCACCUCACCCCCGACGGCCGCGCCGACGCCCUCGCCCCUCAUCCGCGCCUCCCCGGCGCCAGGUGCUUCGCGUCCGCGUACGUCCGCCGGGUCGACUUCCCCACUGCCGUGCGGCUCAUCAGGGGCUCCGGCCCGGCGGCCGCUGGCGGCCUGGUGGCGUACGCGCAGCAGCAGGACGACUGCCUGCGCGGGGAGUACGCGGCGGUGGCCGGCGACGUGGACGCGCACGUGCCCUGGGCCAGCGAGGCGCUCGGCUGCCUCCCGGAGGCCGUCAACCUCUGGAUCGGCAACUCCUGCUCCGUCACCUCCUUCCACAAGGACCACUACGACAACGUCUACGCCGUCCUCUCCGGCGAGAAGCAUUUCCUCCUCUUGCCCCCCACCGAGCACCACCGCCUCUACGUCCGCGACUACCCUGCCGCCCGCUACGUCGCGGAGAACGAAGGAGAGGAGGAGCUGACGGGGCUUAAGCUGGAGAUGGAAGAGCCCGAGAGGAUCGUGCCGUGGAGCAGCGUGGACCCGUACCCGGCGUCGCCGGAGGAGAUGGCAGCACAGGUCUCAUCCUUCCCGCUCUACUUCGAGGGGCCCAGGCCGAUACGGUGCACCGUCCGUGCUGGCGAGAUGCUCUACUUGCCGAGCAUGUGGUUUCACCAUGUCAGCCAGAGCCCCGGGCCUAACGGGCUCACCAUUGCUGUGAACUACUGGUAUGACAUGCAGUUUGACAUCAAGUAUGCGUACUUUAACUUCCUGAGGUCACUGGAGAUCAGUAAUUCUCCGCUGGACAACAAAGAUGCUGCCUUGGAAGGUGAUCUUGAGGAGAAGAACGAUUGAGCUGACGAGGUGGUGAUUUUAUUUGCGUUUCGGACAAUGCCCCGAGACACUAUCAGGAUUCAUGAGUAUAUAUGGCUCGGUUUUUGCCGCCGGUAUCUGACAGUUCUCAAGGUUGAGCCUAGAUCUUGAUUACUGCCGAUGUAUGUUGUAUACUACAUUUGCAGGUGCCAAAUGGGCCCAUCAGGUUUGAAUGUUUGAUUUGUUAGCAAAUGGAACAUUUUGAUGGGAAUAUUUCACUUUAUUCAGAAAGGAUAACAUGCAUUCUUUCUGUUCAUGCUUUGCGUUUUCCGGAUCUAGAAAUGACAUCUUGUGGGAAUUUCACAACACUUCGGUACCUGAUCAACCAGGGUGAAGGUAGAAAAUACUACUUAUUUCGGGACAGAGGGAGUAUCAGAUUAUCAGUUACUACGACCUCCUGUGAGCCUGACAGUGUUUAUCCUGGUACGGUAUACGUGCUGGCAUUUCUAGAUUGGGAAGGAAUUGUCUUCAGUUCGUUUAUUUGUAACAAAAUUAUGGUUUUUAUUCAAAAUCGCAUGAGCUGUUGAGUGUUCUGAAAUUCAA